AGUGAACGCUGGCGGUAGGCCUAACACAUGCAAGUCGAACGGCAGCACAGUAAGAGCUUGCUCUUACGGGUGGCGAGUGGCGGACGGGUGAGGAAUACAUCGGAAUCUACUUUUUCGUGGGGGAUAACGUAGGGAAACUUACGCUAAUACCGCAUACGACCUACGGGUGAAAGCAGGGGAUCUUCGGACCUUUCGCGAUUGAAUGAGCCGAUGUCGGAUUAGCUAGUUGGCGGGGUAAAGGCCCACCAAGGCGACGAUACGUAGCUGGUCUGAGAGGAUGAUCAGCCACACCGGAACUGAGACACGGUCCAGACUCCUACGGGAGGCAGCAGUGGGGAAUAUUGGACAAUGGGCGAAAGCCUGAUCCAGCCAUACCGCGUGGGUGAAGAAGGCCUUCGGGUUGUAAAGCCCUUUUGUUGGGAAAGAAAAGCAGCAGGUUAAUACCCCGCUGUUCUGACGGUACCCAAAGAAUAAGCACCGGCUAACUUCGUG
rnacentral:rRNA from 1 species